rnacentral:rRNA from 1 species
UACGUAGGGCGCAAGCGUUGUCCGGAAUUAUUGGGCGUAAAGAGCUCGUAGGCGGUUUGUCGCGUCUGCUGUGAAAACCUGAGGCUCAACCUCGGGCUUGCAGUGGGUACGGGCAGACUAGAGUGCGGUAGGGGUGACUGGAAUUCCUGGUGUAGCGGUGAAAUGCGCAGAUAUCAGGGAGGGAACACCGGUGGCGAAGGCGGGUCUCUGGGCAGUAACUGACGCUGAGGAGCGAAAGCGUGGGUAGCGAACAG